UACGUAGGAGGCGAGCGUUGUCCGGAAUCACUGGGUGUAAAGCGCGUGUAGGCGGCCUGCCAAGUCUGCUGUGAAAGCGCCUGGCUUAACCGGGCGAGGUCGGUGGAAACUGGCGGGCUGGAGGACGGUAGAGGGGGGUGGAAUUCCCGGUGUAGUGGUGAAAUGCGUAGAGAUCGGGAGGAACACCAGUGGCGAAGGCGGCUUCCUGGACCGACACUGACGCUGAGGCGCGAAAGCUAGGGGAGCAAACGGG
rnacentral:rRNA from 1 species